AUCACGCUGGCGGCGUGCCUCAGACAUGCAAGUCGAACGUGAAAGCCCCCUUCGGGGGGCAAGUAGAGUGGCGCACGGGUGAGUAACACGUAGGUAAUCUACCUUCGGAUGGGGAAUAACAACCGGAAACGGUUGCUAAUACCGCAUAAUGCAGCGGCACCUAAUGGUGACAGUUGUUAAAGCGGGGGAUCGAAAGACCUCGCGUCUGAAGAGGAGCCUGCGGCGGAUUAGCUAGUUGGUAAGGUAAUGGCUUACCAAGGCGACGAUCCGUAGCCGGCCUGAGAGGGCGGUCGGCCACACUGACACUGACAUACGGGUCAGACUCCCACGGGAGGCAGCAGUCAGGAAUUUUGGGCAAUGGGCGAAAGCCUGACCCAGCAACGCCGCGUGAAGGAUGAAAUCCUUCGGGAUGUAAACUUCGCAAGAACGGGAAGAAUAAGUCGGUGCUAAUACCACCGGCGAUGACGGUACCGUUUGUAAGCUCCGGCUAACUCCGUGCCAGCAGCCGCGGUAAUACGGGGGGAGCAAGCGUUGUUCGGAUUUACUGGGCGUAAAGGGCGCGUAGGCGGCCACCGCAAGUCAAUUGUGAAACCUCCGGGCUUAACUCGGAAAGGUCAACUGAUACUGCGGGGCUAGAGUGCAGAAGGGGCAACUGGAAUUCUCGGUGUAGCGGUGAAAUGCGUAGAUAUCGAGAGGAACACCUGCGGCGAAGGCGGGUUGCUGGGCUGACACUGACGCUGAGGCGCGAAAGCUAGGGGAGCGAACGGGAUUAGAUACCCCGGUAGUCCUAGCCUUAAACGAUGAAUGCUUGGUGUCUGGGGUUUUAAAGUCCCCGGGUGCCGUCGCUAACGCUUUAAGCAUUCCGCCUGGGGAGUACGGUCGCAAGACUGAAACUCAAAGGAAUUGACGGGGACCCGCACAAGCGGUGGAGCAUGUGGUUUAAUUCGAUGCAACGCGAAGAACCUUACCAAGGCUUGACAUGGACUUGCACCAGCCGUAAUGGGCUGUCCCGAGAGGGCGAGUUCACAGGUGCUGCAUGGCUGUCGUCAGCUCGUGUCGUGAGAUGUUGGGUUAAGUCCCGCAACGAGCGCAACCCCUAUUGUUAGUUGAAUAAUCUAGCGAGACUGCCACGCUAAACGUGGAGGAAGGUGGGGAUGACGUCAAGUCAGCACGGCCCUUACGCAUUGGGCAACACACACGCUACAAUGGUCGGACCAAAGAGUCGCCAACCCGCGAGGGGGAGCCAAUCUCAUCAAACCCGAUCUCAGUUCAGAUUGCAGGCUGCAACCCGCCUGCAUGAAGGAGGAGUUGCUAGUAACCGUGGGUCAGCACACCACGGUGAAUUACGUUCCCGGUGCUGCACAACACC
rnacentral:rRNA from 1 species